rnacentral:rRNA from 1 species
GUAAUGUCUGGGAAACUGCUUAUGGAGGGGGAUAACUACUGGAAACGGUAGCUAAUACCGCAUAACGUCGCAAGACAAAGAGGGGGACCUUCGGGCCUCUUGCCAUCAGAUGUGCCCAGAUGGGAUUAGCUAGUAGGUGGGGUAACGGCUCACCUAGGCGACGAUCCCUAGCUGGUCUGAGAGGAUGACCAGCACACUGGAACUGAGACACGGUCCAGACUCCUACGGGAGGCAGCAGUGGGGAAUAUUGCACAAUGGGCGCAAGCCUGAUGCAGCCAUGCCGCGUGUAUGAAGAAGGGCUUCGGGUUGUAAAGUACUUUCAGCGGGGAGGAAGGUGUGGGUUAAUAACCAAGAAUUGAGUUACCCGAGAAGAAGCACCGGCUAACUCAGUGCCAGAGCCGCGGUAAUACGGAGGGUGCAAGCGUUAAUCCGGAAUUACUUGGGCNGUAAAGCGCAGCAGGCGGUCUUGUCAAGUACGGAUGUCGAAAUUCCCCGGGACUCAACUGGGGGGGAAACCNUGGGCGCAUUUUCCAACACAAAACUCUUCGGGGCCAACGGGGCCUCAGAAGGUCCCUCGGGNCACAAAAACGGGAGCGCGGA